rnacentral:rRNA from 1 species
GACGUAGGGGGCCAGCGUUGUUCGGAAUUACUGGGUGUAAAGGGUUCGUAGGCGGUGCGGCAAGUCGGGUGUGAAAUCUCUGGGCUUAACCCAGAGGCUGCUUCCGAAACUGCUGUGCUUGAGUGUGGGAGAGGCGCGUGGAAUUGCAGGUGUAGCGGUGAAAUGCGUAGAUAUCGAGAGGAACACCUGCGGCGAAGGCGGGUUGCUGGGCUGACACUGACGCUGAUGCGCGAAAGCCAGGGGAGCGAACGGG